rnacentral:rRNA from 1 species
AUGCCUGUACCAUAACCGACACAGGUGGGUAGGUAGAGUAUACUAAGGGGCGCGAGAUAACUCUCUCUAAGGAACUCGGCAAAAUGACUCCGUAACUUCGGGAGAAGGAGUGCCUUAUUUAUAAGGUUGCAAUAACAAGAUCCAAGCAACUGUUUAUCAAAAACACAGGUCUCCGCUAAGUCGUAAGACGAUGUAUGGGGGCUGACGCCUGCCCAGUGCCAGAAGGUUAAAGAAGUUGGUUAGUGUAUGCGAAGCUGAUGACUGAAGCCCUGGUGAACGGCGGCCGUAACUAUAACGGUCCUAAGGUAGCGAAAUUCCUUGUCGGGUAAGUUCCGACCCGCACGAAAGGCGUAAUGAUUUGGAUACUGUCUCGGAGAGAGGCUCGGUGAAAUAGACUUGUCUGUGAAGAUGCGGACUACCUGCACCAGGACAGAAAGACCCUAUGAAGCUUUACUGUAACUUGAAAUUGGAAUUGGACUUUGCUUGCGCAGUAUAGGUGGGAAGCGUUGAAAAUAUUCUUGCGGGAGUAUUGGAGCUAUCAGUGAGAUACCACUCUUGUAAUGUUAGAUUUCUAACUUUGAACCAUAAUCUGGUCAAAGAACAGUUUCAGGUGGGCAGUUUGACUGGGGCGGUCGCCUCCCAAAUGGUAACGGAGGCGUACAAAGGUUUCCUCUGAACGGAUAGAAAUCGUAUCUAGAGUGUAAAGGCAUAAGGAAGCUUGACUGUGAGACCUACAAGUCGAGCAGGGACGAAAGUCGGUCUUAGUGAUCUGACGGUACUGAGUGGAAAGGCCGUCACUCAACGGAUAAAAGUUACUCUAAGGAUAACAGGCUGAUCUCCCCCAAGAGUUCACAUCGACGGGGAGGUUUGGCACCUCGAUGUCGGCUCAUCGCAUCCUGGGGCGGUAGUACGUCCCAAGGGUUGGGCUGUUCGCCCAUGAAAGCGGUACGCGAGCUGGGUUCAGAACGUCGUGAGACAGUUCGGUCCAUAUCCGGUGUAGGCGCUAGAAUAUUGAGAGGAGCCUUCUUUAGUACGAGAGGACCGAGAAGGAGACACCGCUGGUGUACCAGUUAUCGUGCCAACGGUAAACGCUAGGUAGCUAUGUGUGGAGUGGAUAACCGCUGAAAGCAUCUAAGUGGGAAGCCCACCUCGAGAUGAGUAUUCUGGUGUAAGGUCACGGGAAGACGACCCGUAAAUAGGCACGAGGUGGAAGUGCAGAGAUGUAUGAAGCCGAAGUGUACUAAUAGACCGUCGGCUUGACC